CCUUAGAGUUUGUUCCUGGCUCAGGAUGAACGCUAGCUACAGGCUUAACACAUGCAAGUCGUGGGGCAGCAUGAGGUCAGCUUGCUGACUUUGAUGGCGACCGGCGCACGGGUGAGUAACGCGUAUCCAACCUGCCCUAUACUCAGGGACAGCCCGUCGAAAGGUGGAUUAAUACCUGAUGUUAUUGUUUGAAGGCAUCUGAUGACAAUCAAAGAUUUAUCGGUAUGGGAUGGGGAUGCGUCUGAUUAGCUUGUCGGCGGGGUAACGGCCCACCGAGGCGACGAUCAGUAGGGGUUCUGAGAGGAAGGUCCCCCACACUGGAACUGAGACACGGUCCAGACUCCUACGGGAGGCAGCAGUGAGGAAUAUUGGUCAAUGGAUGAGAAUCUGAACCAGCCAAGUAGCGUGCAGGAUGACGGCCCUAUGGGUUGUAAACUGCUUUUAUACGGGAAUAAAUGACGACACGUGUGUUGUUUUGUAGGUACCGUAUGAAUAAGGACCGGCUAACUCCGUGCCAGCAGCCGCGGUAAUACGGAGAAUGCGAGCGUUAUCCGGAUUUAUUGGGUUUAAAGGGUGCGUAGGCGGACUGUCAAGUCAGCGGUAAAAUACGGGGGCUCAACCUCCGCCCGCCGUUGAAACUGACGGUCUUGAGUGGGCGAGAAGUAUGCGGAAUGCGUGGUGUAGCGGUGAAAUGCAUAGAUAUCACGCAGAACUCCGAUUGCGAAGGCAGCAUACCGGCGCCCAACUGACGCUGAAGCACGAAAGCGUGGGUAUCGAACAGGAUUGGAUACCCUGGUAGUCCACGCAGUAAACGAUGAAUACUAGCUGUCCGGGGCGAAUGAGCCCUGGGUGGCACAGCGAAAGCGUUAAGUAUUCCACCUGGGGAGUACGCCGGCAACGGUGAAACUCAAAGGAAUUGACGGGGGCCCGCACAAGCGGAGGAACAUGUGGUUUAAUUCGAUGAUACGCGAGGAACCUUACCCGGGCUCAAACGACACAGGAACGGUCCUGAAAGGGGUCGGCUCUACGGAGCCUGUGUCGAGGUGCUGCAUGGUUGUCGUCAGCUCGUGCCGUGAGGUGUCGGCUUAAGUGCCAUAACGAGCGCAACCCCCAUCGACAGUUGCUAACAGGUUAGGCUGAGGACUCUGUCGAGACUGCCGGCGCAAGCUGCGAGGAAGGCGGGGAUGACGUCAAAUCAGCACGGCCCUUACGUCCGGGGCGACACACGUGUUACAAUGGCAGGUACAGCGGGAAGCCACCUGGCGACAGGGAGCGGAACCCGAAAGCCUGUCUCAGUUCGGAUUGGAGUCUGCAACCCGACUCCAUGAAGCUGGAUUCGCUAGUAAUCGCGCAUCAGCCACGGCGCGGUGAAUACGUACCCGGGCCUUGCACUCACCGCCCGUCAAG
rnacentral:rRNA from 1 species